UACGUAGGGUGCGAGCGUUGUCCGGAAUUAUUGGGCGUAAAGAGCUCGUAGGCGGUCCGUCGCGUCGAUUGUGAAAACCCGGGGCUCAACUCCGGGCUUGCACUCGAUACGGGCGGACUAGAGUUCGGUAGGGGAGACUGGAAUUCCUGGUGUAGCGGUGAAAUGCGCAGAUAUCAGGAGGAACACCGGUGGCGAAGGCGGGACUCUGGGCCGAUACUGACGCUGAGGAGCGAAAGCGUGGGGAGCAAACAGG
rnacentral:rRNA from 1 species